rnacentral:rRNA from 1 species
CUGAGUACGGCGGAACACGUGAAAUUCCGUCGGAAUCCGGGAGGACCAUCUCCCAAGGCUAAAUACUCCCUAGUGACCGAUAGUGAACCAGUACCGUGAGGGAAAGGUGAAAAGCACCCCGGAAGGGGAGUGAAACAGUUCCUGAAACCGUGUGCCUACAAGUAGUUAGAGCCCGUUAAUGGGUGAUAGCGUGCCUUUUGUAGAAUGAACCGGCGAGUUACGAUUUGUUGCAAGGUUAAGCGGAAAAAGCGGAGCCGUAGCGAAAGCGAGUCUGAAUAGGGCGCAUAAGUAACAGGUCGUAGACCCGAAACCAGGUGAUCUACCCAUGUCCAGGAUGAAGGUAAGGUAAUACUUACUGGAGGUCCGAACCCACGCACGUUGAAAAGUGCGGGGAUGAGGUGUGGGUAGCGGAGAAAUUCCAAUCGAACUUGGAGAUAGCUGGUUCUCUCCGAAAUAGCUUUAGGGCUAGCCUCGAGGUAAAGAGUCAUGGAGGUAGAGCACUGUUUGGACUAGGGGCCCUUCUCGGGUUACCGAAUUCAGAUAAACUCCGAAUGCCAUGUACUUAUACUCGGGAGUCAGACUGCGAGUGAUAAGAUCCGUAGUCGAAAGGGAAACAGCCCAGACCACCAGUUAAGGUCCCCAAAUAUAUGUUAAGUGGAAAAGGAUGUGGGGUUGCUUAGACAACCAGGAUGUUGGCUUAGAAGCAGCCACCAUUGAAAGAGUGCGUAAUAGCUCACUGGUCGAGUGACCCCGCGCCGAAAAUGUACCGGGGCUAAACAUAUUACCGAAACUGUGGAUGAACCUCUUUAGAGGUUCGUGGUAGGAGAGCGUUCUAAGGGCGGUGAAGUCAGACCGGAAGGACUGGUGGAGCGCUUAGAAGUGAGAAUGCCGGUAUGAGUAGCGAAAGAAGGGUGAGAAUCCCUUCCACCGAAUAUCUAAGGUUUCCUGAGGAAGGCUCGUCCGCUCAGGGUUAGUCGGGACCUAAGCCGAGGCCGAUAGGCGUAGGCGAUGGACAACAGGUAGAGAUUCCUGUACCAGUGCUAAUUGUUUAACCGAUGGGGUGACACAGAAGGAUAGGGAAUCGCACGAAUGGAAAUGUGCGUCCAAGCAGUGAGUGUGAGAAGUAGGCAAAUCCGCUUCUCGCGAAGCAUGAGCUGUGAUGGGGAAGGAAAUUAAGUACGGAAGUUCCUGAUUUCACGCUGUCAAGAAAAGCCUCUAGGAAGAGUAGUACUGCCCGUACCGCAAACCGACACAGGUAGAUGAGGAGAGAAUCCUAAGGUGAGCGAGAGAACUCUCGUUAAGGAACUCGGCAAAAUGACCCCGUAACUUCGGGAGAAGGGGUGCUCUAUUAGGGUGCAAGCCCGAGAGAGCCGCAGUGAAUAGGCCCAGGCGACUGUUUAGCAAAAACACAGGUCUCUGCAAAACCGUAAGGUGACGUAUAGGGGCUGACGCCUGC